AUAUUCUCAAUUUCCGGGUUAGGAUGUGACAGGAGCACCAUAAUUUUGAUUGUAAUUUCAUGCUAGGAUAAAUAUAGAUUCAAGCUAGUGGCGGUAGGGCUCGGCAUAAAACCCGAACGUGAAAAACAAACCUGAUCAGACCGACCGGUCCAACCAGGCCGGGCCGGGUUUUUUUACGGUCCCAACUAUUUUUUCUAUCGAUCCGGUCCGGUCCCUGUCCCUGUCCCAAAUAUUAGAAACAGUUAGUGGCCCGAAAGCCCGAGAUUAUAUAGUUGUUGAUAUAUGUAUCCAAUAAAUCUCAUUAAAAAACUUUAUAAUAAUCAAAAUUGUGGUUGGGUCCUUUUUCAAUCAAACUACACCCACACUCACACGGUCCCUCAUCAAAAAUCUAUUAAAUAAUAAACCCAUUUCAUCACCGCAAUCACCCAGAUACCCACACCCCCUCAUCUCAAUUCAUCACAAUCGCCCUUCUUAAAAAUAAAAAAUAAAAAUAAAAAAAAGUAAGUUCAACGCAAUCGCAAGAAGUCUCAGAGGCCAACGAAAAAGAAUCAUCUCCCUCUCUCUAAAUUCAUUGGGUCACUCGUCUCUCUCUCUCUCUCUCUCUCAGUUGUCUGUGUUCAGGUCACCCAUGAUGAGUCAACUCGGGCAACUACAACUCACUGCAACUCACCCAUCAUCAAUAAUGUUUUAAUUCGCCAUCCAGGUCUUCGUUUUUUUUUUUCUUCUGAUGAUUUGUUAUAUAUUGGUGAUAGGAGUGAGAUCAGAUUUAAUGUUGAUUGAAAUGGUGAAUGAAAUGGGAUUUGGUGAUGAUUGAAAUGGGUGGGUAGGCGAUGAGAUCAGAUCUCCGAGAUGAAAGAAACAUUUGAAACUGGAGGAUACGAUCAGGGGACUCCCUUUUUGCUUAGUGUGUUGUUCGCCGACUCGAUGGAUUCCCUUCUCUCCCCGGCAUCAAGGACUCCUUGGUUAGUUUGGAAAUUUGCAAAUACUACCUGCUGGGUGUUUGGAAAUUUGCAGCAAAGUUGCAAUUGCCUUGCGAGAACGCAAAGCCCGGCGAGACAUGCCCGUAUGUUGUCGAUCCGGGUUUAGGCCAGUUUCUGAGUUUGGAAUGUGCAAGCCUGGCCCGAAGAAAGACUGCCGGUCCUGGUCCCGGUCCUGGUCCCUGUGAAAGUGGUGUCGGUCUGGGACCGUGUCCAGCCCUAAGUGGCGGAGCCAAAAUUUAGGAUUGAAGGGUGCUAAUGUGUAAGAUGAUCACAAAUAUGAAGUGGAUUAACUAGUUUCAAAUGAUAAAAUACAUGUAGAGGAAAGAGUCUGGGGAUGCCAUGACCACUUCUGGCCUGUGCAUAGCUCCGCCCCUGAUUCAAGCAAAGACAAAUUGUAAAUUCUUGAAUGGUUUGAUACCAAACAUAGUUUCAAACUUGCAGAAUGACAACAAUAUAAUUCUUGGGACAGGGCAACACAUCUGAAAAUAGGGGCAUCAAGUGUAGUUUUGAUGUAGGAUUGAAGGGUGCCAAUGUGUAAGAUGAUCACAAGUAUGAAGUGAAUUAACUAGUUUCAAAUGUUAAAAUACAUGUAGAGGAAAGAGCUUGGGGAUGCCAUGACCACUUCUGGCCUGUGCAUAGCUCCGCCCCGCCCCUGAUUCAAGCAAAGACAAAUCGUAAAUUCUUGAAUGGUUUGAUACCAAACAUAGUUUCAAACUUGCAGAAUGACAACAAUAUAAUUCUUAGGACAGGGCAACACAUCUGAAAAUAGGGGCAUCAAGUGUAGUUUUGAUGUAGUUUUGCAAAUACACCAUCUUCUAUCUCCUAGCUCACAAGUGCUUAUGAUGCAGUUUUGAUAUGUAUAUCCAUACUUUUUGCGAGGGACAAAGAUAACACCGUUGGGAUAAGUGGGAGGGGUUGUGAAUGAUGCAAUCUCUACAGAAAAUCACUGCUCCAAAUCUAACCCGGGCAGUUGUAUAACCUCAUUGCAAAAUGGAUUGUAUAUAUUGUAGUAUUGUUUGCAGAAAAUUGAAAUGCUUACCUUUAGGCAAAGAAUCAACACUCCAAUUUAACUUCCAAACAUGAGGAUCAACUAUAUGAGAAGAAUGCUAAUAUUCAAGAAAGAGAGCAGCUCUAUCCAAAUGAAAUUUAUGAUAGCCAGAUUUCAUAAAAUAAGCGCCAGAUUUUUCAAAAAGCCAAAUUAUUCUAUCCUCCUCCUAGCUAUCAAUAAUUAGAAUAGAGUUAAUAGUAAGCAUCUCCACAUCA
rnacentral:lncRNA from 1 species